rnacentral:rRNA from 1 species
AAUGAACGCUGGCGGCGUGCCUAACACAUGCAAGUCGAACGAGAAAGCUCUUCGGAGUGAGUAAAGUGGCGAACGGGUGAGUAACUCGUAAGAAUCUGCCCUUUAGUGGAGAAUACCUUCGAGAAAUCGAAGUUAAUACUGCAUAAGCCCUGCGGGGGAAAAACGGCCUCUUUGCCGUUGCUGAAGGAUGAGCAUGUGGACUAUUAGGUCGUUGGUGGGGUAAAGGCCUACCAAGGCGAUGAUGGUUAGCCGGCCUGAGAGGGUGUACGGCCACAUUGGGACUGAGACACGGCCCAGACUCCUACGGGAGGCAGCAGUGGGGAAUAUUGCACAAUGGGCGAAAGCCUGAUGCAGCGACGCCGCGUGGAGGAUGAAGGUCUUCGGAUUGUAAACUCCUGUUAAGAGGGAAGAAAAGCUUGCGAGUAAUAUGCGCAAGUGUUGACGGUACCUCUAGAGAAAGCCCCGGCUAACUUCGUGCCAGCAGCCGCCGUAACAC